rnacentral:lncRNA from 1 species
UAACUGUCAGGCCACCUUAAGCCACAGUACGGAAGAAGCUGUGCUGCCUGUGAGCCCCGUCCAAGGACGUUAAAAGAAGAAGUCAGGCCCCAAAGCCACGGUUUGAGCAAACCGUGCUGCCUGUAGCUCCGUCGUGGGGACGUAAAACCUGGGAGGCUGCAAACUGUGGAAGCUGUACGCACGGUGUAGCAGACUAGCGGUUAGAGGAGACCCCUCCCAUGACACAACGCAGCAGCGGGGCCCGAGCACUGAGGGAAGCUGUACCUC